AAACUUUCAACAACGGAUCUCUUGGUUCUGGCAUCGAUGAAGAACGCAGCGAAAUGCGAUAAGUAAUGUGAAUUGCAGAAUUCAGUGAAUCAUCGAAUCUUUGAACGCACAUUGCGCCUCCUGGUAUUCCGGGAGGCAUGCCUGUUCGAGCGUCAUUACAACCCUCAAG
rnacentral:rRNA from 4 species